AGGUGUGAGUCGGUGCCUGCUGCCUUCAAUCAACUACUCUUUAGUCAGAUGGUCUGCAGGGCACUGAGUUGAGCCCCCCGGCCUCCAAGUGCUUACUUAAAUCGAUUGGCAUUCAGUAAAAUGGAAAAGCUGCUUCCUCAGGCGCACUGGCCCCACGUACCCCCCCCUCCACACACACCCCCCUCCCCCCGGCUCAUGAGUACCCACCAAAGUGUAGCCAUCACGCAGGGUGGGGUGUUCAGGGGGCGUGAUGGAGGAAGACGGCAGAAUCCACAGAGGGGGCAAAUGAAUGCUCGGACUCAACCAUGUCCCCCAGAGCGCCCCCCACCCCCGGGGACUGUAUUUGGAGGUGGGGCCUCUACACUGGGAAUUAAGGUGGAAUGAGGUCCUCAGGAAGGGCCCUGAUCCCACAGGAAGGGGAGGAGACGCAGUGUCCCGCGCGGGAAGACGCAGAGAGAAGGUGGCCGGCUUUGAGCCAAGGAGGGAGCCUCCCCAGGAGGGGGACCCCCGCCCUGUCCACGCUCUGACCUUGGCCUUCUGGCCUCCGGAACCGUGAGAGAAUCACUGUCUGCUGUUUGAGCCCCCAGUCGGCGGUUUCCGUGUGGAUGUGUGCUGUUUUCCGUUCUCUUGGGAGCACCAAGGAGUGCUGUCACCAGAGUUGGCCAGAGGUGUUCUGGGGAUGACCGAGGAAUGAGACGAGACACCUGCUCCUAGGAUGUCUCCCUAGCCAGCUCCUUGGACCUUGAAUUUCCCCUACCCUCCCAGCCAGUUGGACUCUUUAAAGAGAGAAAAGCCCUUGGCCACCCAGCGACUGCUGAUUACCCCCACCAUGCAGGAGGUAAAUAUCUACUUGUUGAUUUUGCUGUUCACGUUCUUACCAAAUUGAACAUACCUGUCUUUCGUAGGCAAACUUCUGAAAUGUGUAUCCCCGGGUGUUUGAGAAAUACACAUGGGUCUGAGAUAUCUGAUCUCCAUGCAAAUAAGCAAACACGGAAUUACUUAUAUCCUGGAAGAACAGACACAUAGAAGUCUCUUUACUUUUUUUCCUAAAUUUUUUAAAUGUUUGUUUAUUUUGAGAAAGAGAGAGAGAGAGAGCAAGCAGGGGAGGGGCAGAGAGAGGGAGAGAAUCCCAAGCAGGCUGAGUGCUGUCAGCACAGAGCCCCACAUGGGGCUCAGACUUACAAACCCUGAGGUCAUGAACUAAGCCGAAAUCGAGUCAGACGCUUAACUGACUGAGCCACCUAGGUGCCCCAUAAAACAGUCUCUUUAAAAGCAGAGAAAGGGUAGAGCUUGCAACUGACAGACAGAUACGUUCUAGAGAGUCUAAUGCACAGCAUAGCGAUGGCAGGCAACAAUAUGUAUUACCAAUUUCAGAGUUGUUAAAAGACUAGAUCUUAAUUGUUCUCACCACACACCAAAAAGGGUAAUCAUGUGAUGGAGGUGUUAGUGAAUGCUAUGAUGGCAUUUACUGCCACCUAUACGUGUAUCAAAUCAAUACACUGUGCACCUUAAAUUGACACAUUGUUGUAUCUCAAUUAUA